CAUGCAAGUCGAGCGGACAGAUGGGAGCUUGCUCCCUGAUGUUAGCGGCGGACGGGUGAGUAACACGUGGGUAACCUGCCUGUAAGACUGGGAUAACUCCGGGAAACCGGGGCUAAUACCGGAUGGUUGUUUGAACCGCAUGGUUCAAACAUAAAAGGUGGCUUCGGCUACCACUUACAGAUGGACCCGCGGCGCAUUAGCUAGUUGGUGAGGUAACGGCUCACCAAGGCAACGAUGCGUAGCCGACCUGAGAGGGUGAUCGGCCACACUGGGACUGAGACACGGCCCAGACUCCUACGGGAGGCAGCAGUAGGGAAUCUUCCGCAAUGGACGAAAGUCUGACGGAGCAACGCCGCGUGAGUGAUGAAGGUUUUCGGAUCGUAAAGCUCUGUUGUUAGGGAAGAACAAGUACCGUUCGAAUAGGGCGGUACCUUGACGGUACCUAACCAGAAAGCCACGGCUAACUACGUGCCAGCAGCCGCGGUAAUACGUAGGUGGCAAGCGUUGUCCGGAAUUAUUGGGCGUAAAGGGCUCGCAGGCGGUUUCUUAAGUCUGAUGUGAAAGCCCCCGGCUCAACCGGGGAGGGUCAUUGGAAACUGGGGAACUUGAGUGCAGAAGAGGAGAGUGGAAUUCCACGUGUAGCGGUGAAAUGCGUAGAGAUGUGGAGGAACACCAGUGGCGAAGGCGACUCUCUGGUCUGUAACUGACGCUGAGGAGCG
rnacentral:rRNA from 1 species